GAACGCUGGCGGUAGGCCUAACACAUGCAAGUCGAACGGCAGCACAGUAAGAGCUUGCUCUUACGGGUGGCGAGUGGCGGACGGGUGAGGAAUACAUCGGAAUCUACUUUUUCGUGGGGGAUAACGUAGGGAAACUUACGCUAAUACCGCAUACGACCUACGGGUGAAAGCAGGGGGUCUUCGGACCUUGCGCGAUUGAAUGAGCCGAUGUCGGAUUAGCUAGUUGGCGGGGUAAAGGCCCACCAAGGCGACGAUCCGUAGCUGGUCUGAGAGGACGAUCAGCCACACUGGAACUGAGACACGGUCCAGACUCCUACGGGAGGCAGCAGUGGGGAAUAUUGGACAAUGGGCGCAAGCCUGAUCCAGCCAUACCGCGUGGGUGAAGAAGGCCUUCGGGUUGUAAAGCCCUUUUGUUGGGAAAGAAAAGCAGCAGGUUAAUACCCCGCUGUUCUGACGGUACCCAAAGAAUAAGCACCGGCUAACUUCGUG
rnacentral:rRNA from 1 species